UUAAGUUCAGCGGGUAUUCCUACCUGAUCCGAGGUCAACCUUGUAAAAAAGAUGGGUUUAACGGCCGGAGCACGCCAGACGCCCUGAGCGAGAGUGUUACUACGCUCGGGUCCUGGGCGAGCCCGCCGCUGACUUUGGGGGCCCACGGAGGUGGUGCCCCAACACCAGGCUGGGCCUGAGGGUGGAAAUGACGCUCGAAC
rnacentral:misc_RNA from 1 species